rnacentral:rRNA from 1 species
AAUCAACGCUGGCGGCGUGCCUCAGACAUGCAAGUCGAACGAUUAAAGCUCUCUUCGGAGAGUGUAUAGAGUGGCGCACGGGUGAGUAACACGUAAGUAAUCUACCCUCGAGUGGGGAAUAACAACCGGAAACGGUUGCUAAUACCGCAUAAUGCAGCGGCACCGCAAGGUGACAGUUGUUAAAGAUUUAUCGCUUGAGGAGGAGCUUGCGGCAGAUUAGCUAGUUGGUAGGGUAACGGCUUACCAAGGCUACGAUCUGUAACCGGUCUAAGAGGACGGUCGGUCACACUGACACUGAAUAACGGGUCAGACUCCUACGGGAGGCAGCAGUCGGGAAUUUUGGGCAAUGGGCGAAAGCCUGACCCAGCAACGCCGCGUGAAGGAUGAAGUAUUUCGGUAUGUAAACUUCGAAAGAAUAGGAAGAAUUAAUGACGGUACUAUUUAUAAGGUACCGGCUAACUACGUG